CCCACCCCAGCUGCUCAACGCGAUUUCCCUUCGCGCUUCUCCGCACCGGGAUCCCCAGUCCCUCAGGUUCCGACAGACCCUCCUGUCAGGCCCAUUCUCCGGGCCCCCUCAGUUGCAGUGUUAAGAUCAACAGUGUUAAGAUUAAAGCCUUGUGAUGUGCUAGCCACUACGCUGAGGAUAUGCCGUGUACUAAAAUUCCUCAGGACUCCUCACAGCUGCCCUGUAAGGAAGCGGCCAUGGCCGGGUUCUAGCGAUGCGAGGCCGAGGCUCGGGGCGCUGAGUAGCCUAGCGCGUCGCCGAGGAGAGCUGGCACGUGAACCCCUUGUCGUUUGCCGUCAGAGGUGUUAUGUGGUGGCCCUCAUUCUCCAUGCAUGGAGCAGACUCUAGGAUCUGCAGUUACUGUAUGAUGAGCCCUUCUGAGUAUUUUGCUUGGGUGGACAGUUUAUGUGUCAGGUAUGUGUAUUUAUAAUUAAAAUCAAAUAUUAUUACAUAGGCUUUGCACCUGGCGAGGUAACAUUGAGAGUAGUUAAUCUCUAGACUGGAAUCCAUCUGGAAGACCACUCAAUAACUUGUGAUUAGCUGGACCUGGUGAUGCAAGCCUGGAGUCCCAGUUACCCGGAGGCUGAGGUGGGAAUAUCGCUUGAGACCAGGAGUUUGAGGCUACAGUGAGCUGUGAUUGUACCACUGCACUCCAGCCUGGGUGACAGUGCAAGACCUCAUCUCUUAAAAAAAACAAACAACUCAAAAAACCUCAUCAUUGAGCACCUAUGAUGUGCCAGCAACUGUACUCAGUGGUGGGGACUUGACGACAAACAAACCAGGGAUGGGAUCCUUGAGCAGUCACCAUCUGACAAGUGACUGGGAAAGAUGAAUAAUGCCCUUCACCAAGAUUCUUCUCUGAUCCACAAAUUCAAUUACCAAUUUAUUUGUUCACUGCUCUUAAACUUAAAUAUUUUUUAGUAGGUAAUAAAGACAUGUUUAAACACUCUUAACUUUUAACAAUUUCUUUGUAAGUACUGUAAUAGUCUUCUUUUCCUUUAAAAAGAAAAAAUACAAAAAGAAGGAAAAGGAAAAUCUAUUCAAAAUAAAGUAUUCCAGAUAUCUGACAUUGCUGCAUUGCUGUAUCAUUCAUUAACAUUCACAAAAAAUAAAAUGAGUGCCUUCCGUGUGUGUGCAGGCAUUGUUCUAGGCAAAGAAGAUUUAGCAUUCAACCAAAACUUCUGUUCUCAUGGAACCUACCUACUCGCAGAUCCAAGCCAUGGUAGUUUGUUCAAGAACCUUCAGCUCUUUUCUGCUUUGUUGUCAAAGGCUUCUAAAAUUGGAUCCCCUCCUCCUUAGUUCUUCCUGAUCCCUGACAGGGAUCCUGUGCUUCAGUCAGCCUCCAAUCCCAACCACCACCACCAACAAAAUCACAAGAAGACACCUAGGCUAUUAUUCUUAACCUGUUUCCCAGUUUCUAUUUGUUAACCCCCUCUGGAUUAGGCAUUGUUGUCUUUGAUCUUGACAUGUGCCUCUAUGUGGAGAGUGUAUUUUUGCUCACCAAAUUUUUACUCAUUAAACUUUACUGGUGCUAUGCUUGCUAACUUAUUUCAGAUAAUUAGAGCUUUUGGAUGCUUUCUCCAGGACAAACUGUUCCUUUCCCCAUCCUCAGCCUUCCAUGCUGUUAAUGUACAAAAUCAGAUGAUUUAAACAUAAAUCAUCUUGAACUCUAGAAUGACCUGGUCCCCUUAGCGAAAAACUGUGGGAUUCAACACUACUCCUCAGUGAUGAUGGUAAGGCUACGUGGGCAGUUGUUUAACCAUUAUCCCCAGGUGCCCUCACCCACAGCCAGCCUGCUCAAAGGACUAUUUCCCAUUCCAAUAAUAAUGACAGAGCUAGGAGGGAGGCCAUGACUAAUAAAGACAUAUAAGAUGUUAUUGCAAAUUCUUUUUUCUAUCCAUAUGAAUUAUAAACUAAAAAAUAUUGACAAAUAUCAGCAAUUACAUCGAAAGAAGAAGGUGGUUGUCAAAAAUAAAAACCAUUGUUAUGUUUUAUAAAUGUUAUUGAAGUCCACAGGAAAUACAUUAAUUUGGUGGGUGUAAAAUUGGAAGAAUUUUGAAAAAUGUAUGCAGUGGUGUAACCACAAACACAAUCAGGAUAUUUCCAUCCCUCCAGAGUUGCCUUAUGUUCCUCCUCCCAAUCUGUUUCCUGUCAACUAAUUAUCUGCUGUCUGUCACUGUAAUAUUGCCUGUUCUAGGAAAUUAGAUGAGUGGAAUUUUCUAUUAUGUGGUCUUUUGAGUCUGACUUCUUUCAAUAAUUAUACUGACUUUGAGAUUUAUCCAUAUUGUUGCAUGUAUCAGUAAUUCAUUCAUUUUCAUUGCUAAGUGGUAUUGUAUGAAUACAGUUUAUUUAUCCGUUCAUCAGUUGAUGGACGUUUGGGUUCAUUCCAAUUUUUAACUAUUAUAAAUAAAGUUGCUAUAAACAAUAUGCAAGUCCUUACGUUAACAUAAGUUUUCCUUUCUUCUGGGUAAAUUUCCUGGAGUAGAAAUGCCGGGUCAUAUGGUAAGUAUAUGUUUAAUAUUGUAAGAAACUGUCAAUGAAUUUCCAAAGUGACUGUACCAUUUUACAUUUUAUCAGCAAUGUAUGAGCGUUCCAGUUGCUCCACACUCUCACUGAUGGUUGGUAUUUUCAGUCUUCUUAAUUUUAACCAUUCUAGUGGGUGUAUAGUGGUAUGUCAUUAUGAUUUUAAUUUGCAUUUCCCUAAUGACCAAUGAUGUUGAGCAUCUUUUUAUGUGCUUGUUUGCCAUGUAUACAUCUUUUUAGGUAAAGUAUGUUCAAAUUUUGGCCCAUUUAUUGGUUUUUGUAGUUAUAAGAAUUUAUGUAUUCUGGAAUCAAGUAUUUUAUCAGAUACAUGUUUUAUAAAUAUUUUCUCCCAGUAUGUGGCUUAUAUUUUUUAUUUUCUUAACAGUGUCUUUGAAGAACAUAAAUUUUUAAUUUUAAUGAAGCCCAAUCUGUUAAUUUUUCUUUUACAGUUUGUGCUUUUUCUAUCCCACUUAAGGAAACUUUGUCUAACUUAAUGUCACUAAGAUUUUCUCCUGUUUUCAGCAGGCGCGGUGGCUCAUGCCUGUAAUCCCAGCACUUUGGGAGGCUGAAGUGGGUGGAUCACCUGAGGUCGGGAGUUCGAGACCAGCCUGACCAACAUAGAGAAACCUUGUCUCUACUAAAAACACAAAAUUAGCCAGGCUUGGUGGUACAAGCCUAUAAUCCCAGCUACUCGGGAGGCUUAGGCAGGAGAAUCACUUGAACCUGGGGGGCAGAGGUUGCAGCGAGCCGAGAUUGCGCCAUUGCACUUCAGUCUGGGCAACAAGAGUGAAACUCCAUCUCAAAAAAAACCAAAACAAAACAAAAUUUUCUCCUCUUUUCUUUUCUUUUCCCUCACCUCCCUCCCUCCUUCCCCCCUCCCUCCCUCCCUCUCUCUCUCUCUCUUUCUUUCUUUCUUUUAUCUCAUUCUGUGUUUCAGGCUGGAGUGUUGUGGCCACAAUCUCAGCUCACUGCAACCUCCACCUCCCAGGUUCAAGCGAUUCUUGUGCCUCAGCCUCCCAAAUAGCUGAGAUUAUAGAUGUAUGCCACCGUGCCUGGCUAAUUUUUAUAUUUUUAGUAGGGACGGGAUUUCACAACAUUGGCCUGGCUGGUCUCGAACUCCUGAGCUCAAGCGAUCCACCCACCUUGGCCUCCCAAAAUGCUGGGAUUACAGGCGUGAGCCACCAUUCCCAGCUGUUUCCUGUUUUCUUUUAGAAGCAUUAUUCUUUCAACCCUUACAACUGAUAUCUUGAUCCAUUUUAGGUUAUGUCUCAUAUGUGGUGUAAAGUAAGGGUAAAGGUUUAUAUUUUUGCAUAUGGCUGUUCACUUGUCACAGGACCAUUUACUGAAAGCACUAUCCCUCCCCCCAUUGAAUUUCAUUGGCACUUUUGUUGAAAAUCAGUUGCCUCUACAUAUGUGGGUCCAUUUCUGUAUUUCUAGUCAGUUCCCCUAAUAUAUGUGUCUAUAUUUAUGCCACUACCAUACUCUUGAUUACUGUUGCUUUUAUAGGAAGUCUCAAAAUUAGGUAAUAUAAAUACUCCAACUUUACCCUUUUGCAAAAAUUUUAGGGUAUUCUAGAUUAUUUGCAUUUUCAUAUAAAGUUUAGAAUCACCUUGUCAAAUUCUACAAAAAAAAAAAACCCUGCUGGGAUAUUGAUUUGAUUUGUGUACAGACAACUUUCUAUAUUGAUUGGAAUUGUACAGUCAGACAACUUAUGAUUGACAUAUUAACAAUAUUGAGUCUUUCAAUCCAUGAGUACGGUAUAUCUUUUUUUUUUUUUUUUUGAGACAG
rnacentral:lncRNA from 1 species